UCUCAAGUUGUCUUUAUAAGUGAACACAUUCAGGGGCUACUUUGAAGGCACAGAUGAAAGCUAUUGGAUUUGAUAUGGGGCCUGCAGGGAAAAGAGCCAGCAAGAAUUAUGGCUCUGCGUGGGCCUGAGCAUCUCUGUUAAUUCUGUGAGAUGGAGAAGACAAGAUAAAAGCAUAUUUACACUAAAUGUUAAAAAAAAUCUCAUUAACACAAUCAGAAGAGUCUCUAAAAAUUCCUUAAGGCUGUUUCUUGUAAAGUUAGCUUACUUUCAUAAAAGAAACUCCACUAGAAUUUCAAUCUUUAAUUACAAAAAUGCCUUCACUGGAGUAACGGGUGGCAAAAAUGUGUAUUUGGUUUAGAAGCUGCUACUUGCAAGCAUUUUUAUUACUUCUGGAACAUAAGUGAGGACAAAAAUAGUUCAUAAUAAGAUAUAGAUUUAUAUAUGUCUUUGUAUAUGUCCUUCUCAACAAGCUGUCUAGGCUAAAUUAGAUAGUGUUUACAGUAAAUACAUGUUUACUUGUACUUUUUCUUUUCUUCUUAAAAUCUAUUUUCUUCCAUGGAAGCACAAGAAAAACAGAUCAGCAGCUAGAGUGUCUUACUUGCCUUUAAAAAUAAAAGCAGCUAUGUUCAUGCUGAGUUAUAGAUGAGGAAGAAUAACCUGUUAACCUUUCCUUUCACUGGAAACAUAACAAGAACGAAUUAUGGAAGUUGUGACUAGAGUUAGGCACAGAGUAAGAAUUUUUGGCAGUAAAUAAGUCUUAUAAAUAAGUAGAUGUUUGUCUAGAGGCACCUAGACUUUAGGUUAUAACAAAACAUUUUUCUGUAACAGGUUUACAAAGAAACAAUAAACUUUUAAAAAUCUCCACAGCAAUCUGUUCUUUUAAUUACUAUUACAUAAUAAGAGAAAUGACGAAUAAGUAUAUUUACCUAAAAAUACAACCACAUUUUCUUCAGUAAUACUGAAUAGCUUCAAGGGACUAUUUGAGGGCUGUUAUAUUUGUUGAAAUAAUCUCUAAGGUACUAUAUGAGGAUUCUUUACUUUAUAAGCAAAUUUCAGCGAGGUUUUUUCAUGGUAUGCUUUGAAUGCCCCUUCCAUGAUUUGAGCCAAUAAAUGGAAGUGUUUCAAGUUAACAGAUGGACAAAACUAUAUGAAAUUUUCCAGAUCACUGUCAAUAUUUAAUUUUUUUCUCAGUUUCAUGAAUUUUUGAUAUAGGACUACCUCUCAGAUCUGGACAAAAUUAUCCAAUUGUUCAGGGUUUAUGUAUUUUAAAACAAGUGAGCAGAUCCUGUAUGAUCAUACUUUUUGUCAAAUUCAUUGUAUUUUAGUUGUUGUCAAGUUGUCUUUAUGAGUGCAACUGAAUUGUGAAGUGUUCAAUUCUUUAAAGAUUCAGAAACUCUGGAAAAGCAGAAUUGCAAGAUUUUCCAGAAUGACUGCCUCAGGGACUGAAGAGAUAAGGUCUGAAGUCUUUUCUCUAAACUUACUGCAGGCAGUAAACAUUGAUUAGCUCACCUUUGCUUAGGUCAAAAUGUGUAGUGUACAUAUAUUUUGAAGGGAGAGAAUUAUAAAAAGGAGAGAAACUAGUUUCUCACUGUGACAUGCUCCCCCAAACAGGAAAUAUUGCCACAAAUGGUGAUUUCAGUUUUUCUCAUUGCCUAUUGAGUAGGUCAGUGUGGGACCUUAAAUUUAUUUUAUGAUAUGUGACUUUCAACUCUUACUAGACUUGCAGAGAGACUCUCAGCUCUAAUAAUGUAUGAUUCCAAGAAUAGCCAAAUUUAAUUAAUACUGAGGAAAACGUACCAAAUUUAAUUAAUACUCAGGAAAACGUUCCCAUUCAUCACAUUAUAUGUAUGAUUUGCUACUUUAUAACAAUUUUGUGUUUAUUGCCUCACUUUUAUAUCGAUUAUUAAAUGUGUAAUAACAAACUAUUGGCUUAAUUCAGCAUAAAUUACUCAGUAGAAAUCAAAUGUAAUUUGCUUAUUAUAAGGAAAUUAAGCCAGUUCAAAAUUGUGUGUCUUUACGUUUAGCCAUCUUUAGUAUGAUGUUAAAAUGUUUAAUUAUUUCAUACAUUGAAUGCAAUGAAUUAAAGUAAAUUUGUUGUUCCUGUGCCUUAUCAGGUUGUAUAUAUUCAACAACUAGUGCUAGAGUUGCAAGAGAACUGUCAAAUUCUAAAGACAAAAAUUUGUUCUCAUUUAAUUUUUU